CUCGGGACUGAUGAUUUACAUUGCCAUUAUUGAGGGGCUGCGGAAAGCAAACGCAGCCUCGUCAUGAAAAAAUAUUGUACUUCUGAACGCUUGGCUUCUGACCCGAG
rnacentral:snoRNA from 1 species